CUUGUAGACGAUGUCGAAUUGGCACCCAGUGCCACCGCCUAGUGUUCCAUUUCUUC
rnacentral:misc_RNA from 1 species